rnacentral:rRNA from 1 species
AUUGAACGCUGGCGGCAGGCCUAACACAUGCAAGUCGAACGAGUGGCGGACGGGUGAGUAAUGUCUGGGAAACUGCCUGAUGGAGGGGGAUAACUACUGGAAACGGUAGCUAAUACCGCAUACCAUCGGAUGUGCCCAGAUGGGAUUAGCUAGUAGGUGGGGUAAAGGCUCACCUAGGCGACGAACCCUAGCUGGUCUGAGAGGAUGACCAGCCACACUGGAACUGAGACACGGUCCAACCUCCUACGGAAUGCAGCAUUGGGGAAUAUUGCACAAUGGGCGCAGUCCUGAUGCAGACAGGCCGCGUGUAUGAAGAAGGCCUUCGGGUUGUAAAGUACUUUCGGCGGGGAGGCGUUGCCCGCAGGAGAAGCCACGGCUAACUACGUGCCAGCAGCCGCGGUAAUUC